AUUGAACGCUGGCGGCAGGCCUAACACAUGCAAGUCGAGCGACCGGCGGACGGGUGAGUCAUGUCUGGGAAACUGCCUGAUGGAGGGGGAUAACUACUGGAAACGGUAACUACUACCGCAUCCAAUCAGAUGUGCACAGAUGGGAUUAGCUAGUAGGUGGGGUAACGGCUAACCUAGGCGACGAUCACUAGCUGGUCUGAGAGGAUGACCAGUCACACUGGAACUGAGACACGGUCCAGACUCCUACGGGAGGCAGCAGUGGGGAAUAUUGGACAAUGGGCGCAAGCCUGAGACAGCCAUGCCGCGUGUGUGAAGAAGGCCUUCGGGUUGUAAAGCACUUUCAGCUGGGAGGCGUUACCCGCAGAAUAAGCACCGGCUAACUCCGUGCCAGCAGCCGCGGUAAUUC
rnacentral:rRNA from 1 species